ensembl:snoRNA
UUCGGCUUUGAUGACACACUUGCCCUCACUGUAAUCUUUGGUUCUGUGAUGAGGUCAAUAUUGUACUCAAAUUAAACUGAGCCUAA